GUCCCGCUUCCAUUCACGAAGGAUCGUCCGGCACGUACCUGCCGGUGAAGGAGGAUGAC
rfam:Agrococcus jejuensis strain DSM 22002 genome assembly, chromosome: I